UCAUCAAGGGGUGGGCUGGCCUCAUUGCAACCUCAUCCUACCUGGCUGGCCUACAGCACUAAGUCUGGCAGGGCUCAGAGAAGGAAGCUUCCAAGUGGACUUCAUGCAUCUGAAAAGGAGCCACUCUGGGAGCUGCCUUGGAGGCAGCUCUUCUCACUACCUAGGUAACAGCUCUGUCAUCUAUGGCUCAAACGUCACUCACCAGGGAGUUGCUGCAGACCUGUAUGUAUCCUUAUCAGAGAAAUAGANGCUAUUGAGAACCUAAGCCGGUGCCUCAUGGAUAAGGAAACUCCAUGGAAGUUAGAGCUGCCCUGUAAUUUGCAUCCCCCAUAUCUUAGAAACCAGAAUGAAAGGUCUACAGCAGAGACUGAAGAGAGGAAGGCUCAUCACUUGGACCACCAAAGAACUAAGAAAGGUCUCAAGAUCCCUCUGCUAUGGUUAAAUCUAGUCAAGCAACCCAUCCCAGCAAGAGGCAGGAGGCGGUUCAGAGAGUCAUCAAAGCCAUUUUCACAAGGUAGACAUAGGACUGGGGGAAUUAAAGGUUUUCAUGGCCUCACUUGCCAACCUGCCCCCCAAGGCUCUGGGUGAGUACCUAUUAACUUCUCUCCANUCUCUAAUCCCAAAUCAAUCUCCACUUUGCAUAUCGACAUGAAAGCCAAUGGCGGUGCCGGCUAAGGUCAGCCGACUCCAAGGAAAAAGCCUCAGGGGCAGGCAGAUAUGGAGCCAGGUGCUGGGAAAGGCAGUAGGAGAAACCUCAAGCUGGGCUUUACGUCUACCAGCGACUCCCUCCCCUACUGCUGCCAAUGCCUGAGGCACCAGGGCAGUUUGUAUCUUCUCAAGGUGUUUCCUCAG
rnacentral:lncRNA from 1 species